rnacentral:lncRNA from 1 species
AUGUUAUUUUUUAUUCUCUUGGUUCCAGGAUUCUCAAGAGGGAGUGCUUAUUGUCCAUUUCAUUUUUACAGUCGUGGUGCAGGGGAUACGGGCAGGGUCGCCUGCCUGCCACCCAUUUAUCAGCAGGUGCAGAUUUCUGGGACACACCUGAAGGGCUCUUGGGCCCAGGACUUGCUGAGGGUGGCGAGCACGUUUGUUGAGUAUGUUUGCACCUACCCCGUGGCAGAGAACCAUCAACACAUUUCCACAGGGUAAAAAGCUCGACUUGCAGAAAACUAAAAACAUUAUAUAUUUUAUUACUUUCCAAUUUCCUUUUUCACAAAGGGAUUGAUAAAAAAUGCUGAGCCAACUUCUGCCUAGAAGAUGGUCUCUUUUCUGCCACGUCUGUGUCCCUUUUUCUCUGGCUGUCCUCCUUGUGCUGGUCCCACCCUGUUCUAGCUGACUGAGUGAUGUCACUCCGUGUGUCACAGCCCUUAUUAGUGUUUGUGAGAAAUUCUCGUUUAUAUCUAUACUUGCUCGGAGCCUUUUAUUUAGUUUUAUUAGUUUUUACUUUCGCACUAAUUAUUGUAUCAAAGUAAUAUAUGUACAUAUCUAAACAUAAUCGGAUAAGACUAAAAACUUACCAAAAAAAUCACAGUCCCUUGACCCAUGCCUCCCACCCCGUGUCCCAGCCCUCCCUGGAAGUGAUUGCAUUAAACUCUCUUAGCUUUUUCUUUUAGUAUUUAUUAUAAUAUUUCUAACUAAUGUGCUUAUACUGGUGUUUUAUGCUUUUUCCCAAUUUUAGACAUUAUUCUUUUAUUGUGGAUGAAGCUUUAGCUCACUUGCUUUCUCCUCCUGUCCCCACUAUUUGCUCUGCUCCUGUCCUCUUCCUCAAAACUUAGUUAUAUCCACAUUUCGGGUUAAAUCAGUGCUCAGUGUCUGCAUUAUUGUGACCGUGGGAGUUGCUCACUGCAGAAGCAGUGUUUGACGAUUGCAUUUCUUUUCUUGUAUAACUGGUUCAUCUUGAUGUUCACAAUUGCUGUAUUUUUUCAUUUGCUUAGUUUUCUAUGUAUGCAUUGAUAAUUCGUUUUCCAAAUGCUCCAACAGAUUUGUCAAACAUCUGUCAACAAUUUUUUUAAACACUCAAACCAAUUUUACAGAAAAAAUCUUUGAGUUCCAUUCUCUCCCCUCUCCCCCCAUCUUCCCCAGACCUCUGGCGCCUCCUCCACCCUGGAGAAAUUGCUCUGUGGGCCUGCAGCCCAAGAGUCUUCUGGGCCUUCUGUGGUCUGGACCCCUUUGUCCUGGAUCCCUUGCCUUUCCCAUUACUUCAUUUUCUGAAGCACAGCCUUACUCGAGAAGCAUGUUUUUUGAGUUCUUGGACAGUAAGAAAAUAUCUUUAUUCUACCUUGAUUAGUUAAUAGCGUGGCUUGCUAUAUAAUUCUGCCCCCAUGUGCCAAGAUUUUGAAGGCCUUGUUUAUUGUCUCUGAUAAUCUAGGUUUUUUUCACUCUAACUUUAUUAAGCUAUAAGUGACAAAUAAAAUUCUAAGAUAUUUAAAAUGUACA